rnacentral:lncRNA from 1 species
AGGCUGGGGGAGAAGUUAAAGCCAGAGGAGGGGCAGGAAUGUCUGAGGUGGCAACACUUCUCUUCAGCCAGACAGCACUGGCCAGUUUGGAGUCUGUCCAUCCUGCAGGCCACAAGCUCUGGAUGAGGAACUUGAGGCAAGUCACCAGCCCCUGAUCAUUUCGCCUAAAAGAGCAAGGACUAGAGUUCCUGACCUCCAGGCCAGUCCCUGAUCCCUGACCUAAUGUUAUCGCGGAAUGAUGGUAAGUAAAGUGUCUCUUGCAUCUGCAUAGAGAGAGUCCUGGGAGCUUAGGAAGUGAUGGGGAACAGUGAUGUAUGCAGCUCAUGACUAGGUGGACAGGCCUCUGGGGACAGCUGGUACAGGAGGGAAAGGGACCUCACGGGAGGCCCAGAAACCUGGUAAGAGGUGAGGUAUUAAGGUCUGGGAUGGAGAAGCUCUGAGGGUAUAUUUUUCUGCCUCUAAAACUGUUGGAGAGGGAAUCUGAGAAAGCUGCAACCAACCAGGAGGCUGGGGUACGCUGGAGAAGGAAUGGGCUUCCUAACCUUGAGCCCUCUUCCCUGAAGAUAUAUGUAUCUACGGGGGCCUGGGGCUGGGCGGGCUCCUGCUUCUGGCAGUGGUCCUUCUGUCCGCCUGCCUGUGUUGGCUGCAUCGAAGAGGUGAGCGCUGCACUCCCUCCCUCCCCCUGCAGCAGUGCCCCCUGUGCCCCCACCCCCACACGCUUUCCCACUGCUUUCCCAGAACACUGCCUGGCCCUGGAGCCACUGGGAAGCCAACAGGGGAGUCCACGCCUGCUGGUGGGGGGAGCCCGGGAGGGCCCGGGAGAAGCACAAAGGGUGGGCUGUGUUGAGCUUCUUCUUUUCUUCCAGUAAAGAGGCUGGAGAGGAGCUGGGUGAGUCUGGGGACAGGGAAGGGGGAGGGCAAGAGAGAUCCUGAGUGGGUGAGUGGGGAGAAGCAUGGCUGAGCGCUGAGAGGAGGGUUGGGGACGGGAGACAAGGAGAGAGAAAGUAGGAGCAUGAGAGAGGCAGAGAAAAUCGAGGCAAAAGAGAAAGAGAAAAUGAGACAGAAACCAAGAGAAAAAGUGAGACAGAGGAUAGGAGAGACAGGGAGAAAAUGAGAGUGAGAGAGACACAAAGAGAAGAGCAAUGAAAGAGAGAGAGAGAGAGAGGCUCCAGAACCAGGCACAGUGGCUCACGUCUGUCAUUCCAGCUAUCGCAAGGCUGAGGCAGGAAGAUAGCUUGAGCUCAGGGGUUGAAGACAAUCCUGGACAACAUAGUGGGACUCUGUCUCCAAAGAAAAAAGAGAGAGAGAGAGAGAGAGAGAGAGAGGGAGAGAGAGAGAGAGAGAGGGAGAGAAGUAAGAAAGGCUGGAGGUGGGAGCAGAACUCACAGGGAAGGAUCUGACGGCAUCGCCUCCCAUCAGCACCUUCUGUCCUGGUCCCAGGCCCAGGGCUCCUCAGAGCAGGAACUCCACUAUGCAUCUCUGCAGAGGCUGCCAGUGCCCAGCAGUGAGGGACCUGACCUCAGGGGCAGAGACAAGAGAGGCACCAAGGAGGAUCCAAGAGCUGACUAUGCCUGCAUUGCUGAGAACAAACCCACCUGAGCACCCCAGACACCUUCCUCAACCCAGGCGGGUGGACAGGGUCCCCCUGUGGUCCAGCCAGUAAAAACCAUGGUCCCCCCACUUCUGUGUCUCAGUCCUCUCAGUCCAUCUCGAGCCUCCGUUCAAAUUGAUCAUCAUCAAAACUUAUGUGGCUUUUUGACCUUUGAAUAGGGAAUUUUUUAAAUUUUUUAAAAAUUAAAAUAAAAAAAACACAUGGCUCACCCUUCCACCCA